UGGGGAAUAUUGGACAAUGGGGGAAACCCUGAUCCAGCAAUGCCGCGUGAGUGAUGAAGGCCUUCGGGUUGUAAAGCUCUUUUACCUGUGAAGAUAAUGACGGUAGCAGGGGAAUAAGCUCCGGCUAACUUCGUGCCAGCAGCCGCGGUAAUACGAAGGGAGCUAGCGUUGUUCGGAAUUACUGGGCGUAAAGGGCGCGUAGGCGGCCUUAUAAGUUAGAUGUGAAAGACCUGGGCUUAACCUGGGAAGUGCAUUUAAGACUGUAGGGCUAGAGGAUGAGAGAGGAAAGUGGAAUGACGAGUGUAGAGGUGAAAUUCGUAGAUAUUCGUUGGAACACCAGUGGCGAAGGCGACUUUCUGGAUCAUAACUGACGCUAAGGCGCGAAAGCGUGGGGAGCAAA
rnacentral:rRNA from 1 species